GCUCGAGUGGUGGAAUUGGUAGACACGCCGGACUUAAAAUCCUGUGGCCUUUUUGGCCGUGCGGGUUCAAGUCCCGCCUCGAGUA
rnacentral:tRNA from 1 species